UGGGGAAUAUUGCACAAUGGGCGCAAGCCUGAUGCAGCCAUGCCGCGUGUAUGAAGAAGGCCUUCGGGUUGUAAAGUACUUUCAGCGGGGAGGAAGGCGAUGCGGUUAAUAACCGCGUCGAUUGACGUUACCCGCAGAAGAAGCACCGGCUAACUCCGUGCCAGCAGCCGCGGUAAUACGGAGGGUGCAAGCGUUAAUCGGAAUUACUGGGCGUAAAGCGCACGCAGGCGGUCUGUCAAGUCGGAUGUGAAAUCCCCGGGCUUAACCUGGGAACUGCAUCCGAAACUGGCAGGCUUGAGUCUCGUAGAGGGGGGUAGAAUUCCAGGUGUAGCGGUGAAAUGCGUAGAGAUCUGGAGGAAUACCGGUGGCGAAGGCGGCCUCCUGGACGAAGACUGACGCUCAGGUGCGAAAGCGUGGGGAGCAAACA
rnacentral:rRNA from 1 species